rnacentral:lncRNA from 1 species
GUAGCUCCUUUAUCUCCAAAUUUGGGGCUUUAUGUUUCCAUUAAAAAUUCUAGGCUGUAAAUGCUGGGAAAUUUUCAGUCAACAUCCAUGACAGGACUUAUUUCCUUCAAAUACCAUGUAUGUUUAGGCAGUGCUAUGGACUUAAUUAUGUGAUCUGCAUAUUUGGUAUCACUGAGCCCCUACUAUGCAUUAUGUAGUGUGGGGAAUAAAGUCUGCUUUCUAAAGAGGCUGGAGAGUUGGACUUUCUUCUGCUGACAGUUGGUGGAUGGCUGGGAAUGAAGAUUUUGAAUAGUGCAUAGGAUGGGGUAGGGGUGGGGCCAGAUAUGAAGCCAUGGUGACAGAAGCACUGGGGAAGGAGAAUAAAGCAACUAAGAGAGGUUUGUAGGGCAAGGUGAAAAACAGAUGCAUGAUCACUUGAUGGGUAAAAUUAGAGAAGUGAAAAGCAAAGGAACAAGAUGAGAAAAGAAAGAACAAACCCAGGGUGUAACUGGAAGAUUGAUUUCAUGGCAAAAGGGAACUUAUCUUAUAUGCAUAUAACUUGCUAUGUAUGAUAGCCAGGAUAAUAUCUUCUUCUCUAAAAGGGAAAGGAAGAAUUUCCAAAGGCCUAAGGAAUUUUCAUCUAAUGCUAUACACAUCUAGAAAUGCAUACUCAGAGACUUUAAUAAUCCCUAUGUUAUAUUAACUGGGAAGCAAUGAGAAGUCUAAAAGCAGCUUUUCUGCAUAAGGGGAUGAGUAUUAUCAUAGCUAAUCUAGAACCAGGAAAGACAAGCCCUUAGCCAACAUUUCUUAUUAUUAAAAAGAGAAGGUGUUUCCAAAGUUACAGUACAGUCAGUCCUCUAUAAAAUUGAUAUAUAAAUACCUAUCCAUGUUAGCAAAGGAAAGCUGAUUCUAUUUUUAUAGCAAUCCAAAAUGUGUUAGUUUAGAGGCCUCAAGGAAGUACUUGAAUAUGAGUUUUAUGAUUAUUUAAAAAACACAAUCCUAAUGCAAAAUUCCUACUUUAUUUAUGCUUCAGAUUGAGAGAUGAAAAGUCAUCAUUUUAAUUCAGGUCAAAUAAGCAUUCCUGAAAGAAGCCAAGAGGAAGGCACAUUUUCAACAUGACAUAAAAAAAGGGCUGAUAUAACAAAGAAAUUAAAGAAUAUCAAAGCCAACACAGUAAAAAGCAAUGGCAUCCUCAACAAGAAAGGGAAUGUGAAACUGAAUACAGGUACCAGGAAUCAGAAGAGUGCCAGGAAGAGAAUGAUCUUUGUUCUGCAGUAGCAGAGUUGCCUCCUGAGGAGCUGGAGAAAGCAGGCUUGCUUGUGUCACUAAAAGAAGCAAUGUUGACUCAAGGAGAAAUACACAAUGCCAUGAAUUAUAAGGACUGGUGACAGAAAAUGAGUUAGGUUCUCUCUUUCAUCUUCUUCUGGUAUCCCUACACAAGAAUCAUGGGCUAAUAGCAUGUUAGGGCUGGAAGGGGCUUAUAGAACAUCUAGUAUAACUUCCUCUCUUUAUUGGUGUUGCAAGUGAGGCCCAAAGAGAGGAAUUUACCUAACGUGCAGCAGUGCUGCAGAAAAUUCAAAUUCUUUACUUCUAACUAUUCCCAGAAUUGGUCAUUCAUCUCUUCAAAAUAUAUGUGUUGGUGUAAAUAAAAUUAUACCCAAGGGGGUUUUUAAUCUCACACAACUAUAUAUCACAUGGCAGGGACAAACAUUAACAAUCAGAGCCAAGUUGUUACUAUAGUCAAUAAAUUGAAUAACUUAUUUUACCACCUCUUAUUCUUCUACCUUUUUAAAAAGUGUAUAUAUCAAAACAAGCUUCAUCUUACUUAGUGUCCUCAUGCAUGGAUAGAGUUAAAAUGGUUUAGGCAUCAUUUUGCAUUAGAGUUCUGGAAUGUAUGCAGAGCAAGGUUGGAUGGAUUUUUACCAUGUAAGUCAGCCACUAGGCAGUAUUUGUAGUGGAAAUGGGCCUCUAACACUCAUUUCCAAUAGGACAGUAGAAAACAUGGUAUCUACCACCACAGAUCUGCUGUCAAAAGUUUAACCUCCUAUGGGUUAACAUGCGAGUGAUUUAUUUUAUCUUGUGAGCUACUUUGACACCAAAGUAUCUUGAAUGGUCAUAAGUUUGACAAAAAGACCUUUAUGGCUGGUUGAAAUUAAUGACCUCUAAAGUUUGAUUUUACCCUGAGAUCCUGUGAUUCUAAGAGCAGCAGUAGAAAUCCUAGGCAUCUUUCAAGUGUCAUUCUGAACAACAAAAAAAAUAACAUCAGAAGGGAAAAUCUUUUAGACUCAUUAUCUUGCCAUUUCAACCAAUAUAAAUACCAGCUUUAUUUUUUGAAAGCUUUAUUGGAAUUUCUACAUAAGGCUACAUACAUUUCUAAAUAGCUCCCUCAAACUAGAAACUUGUCUAUAAAACAACUGAAAUCAAAUGGAAAGCCCCUUUUCUCAGCCUUAUAUAAGUAAACCUUACUUAUAUAUACCUGAUCAAUAGGGCUAUACUCUCCCUGACAGAUGUUUUCAUUUUUUCUGCCUGAAUAUAAUGUAAAUGGAGCAAAUUCUACCCUAAGGUGCAAUAUUAUACCACAGACUGAUAUAAUAAUAAUUUAUGGCCUAUAUAUUAUAGUUAUAUAAAAUGUCUCAUACCACAUCACCAAUUAUAAGGGGCUGAUCUGCAAUACAACUGAUAGGUUUAGUCCUAUAGGACAUUUCAUUCCAGUUAUAGUUUAAUUUUCAACCUUACUCAUUUGUGAUCUCUCUUUAUAAUUGCCAAAAAGUUCAGGGAUCAUAUGAAGCACUGUUUUUCAAAUGGCCCAUGUGGAAGCAGAAGCCUAGUACAUAUCUUUGAUAAAAGAAUUAACAAGGAUAGUAAUUUAUUAUAUUCUGUAGGGAGAGAAAUUAAUAAUUUAACUACAGAAGAAUUCAGAUGAAUAGGAAAAGAAGAGGAAAAAAAGGAAAACUAGAAAAAAAUUGCUUUCCAGGUUCACAGAAGGCAAACAUCGUGUGGACACUUCCCCAGUGCCUCGGGCUAUGUGGUUAAGACUAAACACACCGUGUGCUCUAUCUUCUAUUUGUUGAACCUCCAGGUGGAACCAGAUUAGCAGAAAGAACGUUUCCUCGGUCAUGAGGGAAUUUAAUUCUUAUCACCUGCUGUGGAAGAUUGGCAACAGCAUUCCUGACCUAAAGAAUAAACUUCUAAUUGUUCUUAAGAAGGUAAUUCCACCAAGGUAAUUCUAGGUCUGCUUCAGCUAUUCCUUAUUUUUGAGUGAUUUUAUUUCAGACUUAAAUCCAUUCCCUUGACGAUAACUGGAGAAAUGAAGCAUAGGAAGAAAAUUGUCCAGAAAGGAUAACACCAAACAUUAAUCUCUUUUGGAACAGAGAGACUCUUUGUUUUUAGUAAACUAGACACAGUUUCAUGGGCAUGUAGGUACUUGAGUGCCCACAAUGCACCAGGCAAUGUGCUGGGGGUGGCAAGAAAUAAAUGCAAUGCUUCUCUACUCUGUGGCAAGCCCUGUGAUAGAACUUUUUACACGCCAUCUCAGCAGACCCUGCAUUUGUCUAAUGUCUAUUUCAUGCUUUUUACACCUGUGUAAGGCAGUCUAUAAGGUGGCUCCCAACUGUCUCAGCCUCCUGGUAUUCAUACCCUUGAUUAUUCCCUCCCCUUAAAUGUCCUAUACUUAUUGACUCACUUCUAAGUGAUGAAUAGAAUACAGUAGAGGUGACAGGAUGUCACUUUCAAGAUUAGAUUGAAAACAACAAUGGCUUCCACCUUCUCCCCAACCCUCAAUCAAAGACAGCUAUUAAGUUGUAAGCUGUCCUGUAGAAAGGCUCUUGUGCCAAUGAAGUAUUAUCUGUGGCCAACAGUCCACAAUGACUAAGGCCUGCCACCAGCCAUAGGUAAGGGCUUGGAAGCAGAUCUCUCCCAAGUUGAGGUGACUGAAGCCCUGGCUGUCACCUCGGUUGCAGCCUUAUGGAGGGACUCUAAGCCAGAGGCACCCAGCUAAGCCACAUCUGGAUUCCUGACCUGCAAAAAUUAGGAGGUAAUGCCUUGUUGAUUUUUGAGCUGCUACGUUUUGGAGUUAUUUGUUAUGCAGCAAUAGAGAACUAAUAUAACACCAUUUCCUCCUCUCUAGUCACCAUUAUUUAGAAACAACUCCAUGAAUGAACAAUGAGAAUCAAGAGCUGGGAAUCAAUAGUUGAGGUGACAGAUUAGGCAACAGCAUGAUGGCCAGCACGUGUCUCACCCAGAAGCUGUCCUCUUCCUUCUUAUAAGACAAGGCUCUAACUCAUGAGGAUGGUUUUUACCACAAAGUUGCACGAGGUGCUUGAAUUUACCACAAAGUUGCAGGAGGUGCUUGACUAGUACAGGAGCACAGCUAAAAAAGGCUCUGCAGACCAAGUCUUCCAUAUUGAUCACAUCUUAGCUAACACUGCUAUGGCUUAAUUGGGCAAACGGCCAAUGGCAUCUGAUCUGCCAUUUUCCAUUUCUCUCAAAAACUAGUUAAGGUAUGGGAAGGACAUCUACCUCAUUUUCCUCUCCUGCCUCCCCGCCUGCCACACACAUUGAGGGCCAAGAAUGGCUCUUUGUAAAGCUACUUGAAAUAAAUGCUACAGGCCUCGUCCUGCUUGGAAGUAAAUCUGGAUGGAAUGUAAUCAAACAGCAUGCAUUUGGCAUCAACUUAUGUUUGAGCAUUGCAGGUAUAAAAAUGAAAAAUAUGUUUUGGCAGAGAGUUGGACAGAAAGGAAGACUUAAUUAAAUAUCUGAAAUAUACACCACUGGAACCAAUUAAUAAUCAUCAAGGGAUCAGAAAAGGAAGGACAGUAAUAAAAAGAGUUUAUAAAGUCGAAAUUUCAGGUGAGAGGGAAAAAAUCCUAUCCACAUUCUUCUGAAUCUCUGAAUUGGUAAGCAACACUUUAUUUUUCAUUUUCCUAACUAAUAUUUAUGCAUUGUCAAUGUCCUACUGCCUUCAAUAAGUUUACAAUCUAACUGGGAGACCAAAAUCUCUAAAAUGCAAUAAUGUGUGCAUCAAAACUCAAGUUCUUAUCAGGGACUGAUUACUUUGGAGUCCUCAGCUCCAUCUCCUAACCCAUGUAUACACUUUCAUAGUUCCUCUUCAGAAAGGAACUAUUUUUAUUCUGUAAAAAUCUAGUGGUCAAAUGAAAUGGGUAUGCUUUAUAGGUAAGGAUCCUGAAGCAAAAAUCAAAUGCAUAAAGAUUACACGGCAAAUGAAGUAAGAGAUUUUUAAGCUCUGACACCAUUUGAUUUUUAGUUUUUUCUAUCACAAAAUAGUGCUAAUAGCUUAUAAAAUUAAAAUAAGUAAAAGUAGCUUUGUUAAAGCAGAAAGAAACUUACACUUCCCUACAACAAUUUGCAAACUUAAGUCAAAUGAUCAAUGAUCAAAUAGCAGAGGCUGGAGUGUGCCCAAGGGGGACUUGAUCUUAUUCUGGGUGUUUUAGCCCAAGCAGAAAUCAAUGCAGGGUUUUCUGCCACCUGCUUAUUUUGUUUCCAGUCAAGCAAAACAAGGGGCUUAUCUCCCUCACAGAUCAGCAUAUGAGAUAUGCUUCAGAUAUGUUUGCCUGUCAGACUCAUAAACACAACAAGAUAUGCCAGCUGCAAUGAAGAGAAGCCCUGUUUCAGUUCGUGGAUUACAGACUGCAACAUCCAUCAGCAUCAAGACAAACACCUUCAAACUACUGUCCUUGGCGUCCAGCCUAACAGAUCUGAGGAAUGUGAUAAAGGAACACUGGAUUCCCAAGGUCUGCUCAGGUUUCCUUCCAUAACAAGAAGUAGCCAAAUACAGCUGAACAGGCCUGCUGAAACCACUGAUUUCUUUCGUUUAAGUUCAGAGGUUCGUAACCUGCUCAAUGGUUUAAACAACAACAACAAGCAGUAUCGGAAGUCAGCAUCAUCUACUCAGCAGCCCAAAUCUGGAAGGUUUUGGAAAAAAUCAGGACACCACUGUUAACCACCUUAACAAGACUGCAAACACAGGCUGUCUAUUCCUCAUCAACAGAAUCUUUGAUACUGGCAAUUUGUUUAGAUUGGCUUGCAGAAGCAUAUAUUGGUAGCUAUGUUAUGAAUAUUUACCGGUUUCAUACACAUUCAUAAAAAUCAGAAACAUUUUCCUCCUAGGUAUCUGCAUUGGUCUUGAAUGGCUGUUUAAAAAUAAUCAGAAACCCCCACUCAUUCAAGAAUGACUCUUACCUACAACCCAAAUAAGCCAUACAGACAAGGGUAGAUCUCAGAUGAAUGAUAAUCAAGGGCCCUGUUAAAAUCUUCUGAAAUCAAAAAUAAAUAGUAAUUACUUUAUUAUCUAUCUGCCUAUCUAUUCAACCAUUCACAUUCUUUAAAAUUUUUGUAGGUACAUAGUAGGUGUACAUAUUUAUGGGGCAUAAGUUAUAUUUUGAUAUGGGCAUAAAUGUGUAAUAAUCACAUCAGGGUAAAUGGGGUAGCCAUCACCUCAAGCAUUUAUCCUAUUACAAGCAAU